rnacentral:rRNA from 1 species
AGCGAACGCUGGCGGCAGGCCUAACACAUGCAAGUCGAACGGACCCUUCGGGGUUAGUGGCGGACGGGUGAGUAACACGUGGGAACGUGCCUUUAGGUUCGGAAUAGCUCCUGGAAACGGGUGGUAAUGCCGAAUGUGCCCUUCGGGGGAAAGAUUUAUCGCCUUUAGAGCGGCCCGCGUCUGAUUAGCUAGUUGGUGAGGUAACGGCUCACCAAGGCGACGUUCAGUAGCUGGUCUGAGAGGAUGACCAGCCACACUGGGACUGAGACACGGCCCAGACUCCUACGGGAGGCAGCAGUGGGGAAUCUUGCGCAAUGGGCGAAAGCCUGACGCAGCCAUGCCGCGUGAAUGAUGAAGGUCUUAGGAUUGUAAAAUUCUUUCACCGGGGACGAUAAUGACGGUACCCGGAGAAGAAGCCCCGGCUAACUUCGUG